rnacentral:rRNA from 1 species
CACGUAGGCGGCCUGUUAAGCUGGAUGUGAAAUCCCCGGGCUCAACCUGGGAACUGCACCCGGAACUGGCAGGCUAGAGUAUGGUAGAGGUGAGUGGAAUUUCCAGUGUAGCGGUGAAAUGCGUAGAUAUUGGAAGGAACAUCAGUGGCGAAGGCGGCUCACUGGACUGAUACUGACGCUGAGGUGCGAAAGCGUGGGGAGCAAACA